CCUACGGGAGGCAGCAGUGGGGAAUAUUGGACAAUGGGGGCAACCCUGAUCCAGCCAUGCCGCGUGUGUGAAGAAGGCCCUCGGGUUGUAAAGCACUUUCAGUGAGGAAGAACGCCUGGUGGUUAAUACCCAUCAGGAAAGACAUCACUCACAGAAGAAGCACCGGCUAACUCCGUGCCAGCAGCCGCGGUAAUACGGAGGGUGCGAGCGUUAAUCGGAAUUACUGGGCGUAAAGCGCGCGUAGGUGGCUUGAUAAGCCGGUUGUGAAAGCCCCGGGCUCAACCUGGGAACGGCAUCCGGAACUGUCAAGCUAGAGUGCAGGAGAGGAAGGUAGAAUUCCCGGUGUAGCGGUGAAAUGCGUAGAGAUCGGGAGGAAUACCAGUGGAGAAGGCGGCCUUCUGGACUGACACUGACACUGAGGUGCGAAAGCGUGGGUAGCAAACAGGAUUAGAUACCCGUGUAGUC
rnacentral:rRNA from 1 species